rnacentral:lncRNA from 1 species
CUUACACACACACAAACAGACACACACAUCUCUUCUCCUCCACACUAUCACUCUUCAACAACACACAUUUCUUUCCCUCUACACCAUAAUUAUUUUCUAUUAUCUCUCUAAUUUAAUCACUUUUACCAUAUUACCAUUUCCUUCUUCAUAGUCCACCAUCAUCAAACACAUCUCUUCUCCUCUAUAUCACCAUCUUCACAUUCUAAAACUUCCAUUUUCACUUGCAUCUCGAUCAGGCUAUCUCCGCUUUCUCCAUCCAGGUUCUUAUUCGUCCACCUCUUUUUUUAGUAUGAAUUAGUUUGUUAAAGUUUGUUUUUAUUUGCCUUUUAUAUUUCCAUAAUUAUUUUACUAUUUUUUAUUCUACAUUUUCAUUGAUAGCAAAAGCCCACUUGCAAUCAACAAUAGAUUUUUCAAACAGUAAUGGGACAAGCUCCCAAGUUUCACUACUCUGAGGAGCACUUAGUUCAUCUGGCACACACACACACACACACACACACACACAUAUAUAUAUAUAUAUAUAUAUAUAUAUAUAUAUAGGUUAUCUAAAAAAGAAAAAGAAUAUGCACAUAAAAUCUUAAUGAUUUCCUAAAUACAAAUUAAAAUGAAUUUGUUACUCAAUUAAUUGUCAUGAUCACUUUGAAAUAAAAUGAAAGACUAAGAUGAAGAGUAUAAAUCAUUUUAUCUUUCCUAUAUAUAUCAUCAAAACAUUUUAUUAGAUGAUAAAAUUGAGAAAAUCAUUGUGAAUAUACUGCUCUUCAUCUCGUGUUUGUAUUGGAAAUUAGUCAUAUUAACCAUAACGUUGAUAGUAUUCAAGAUAAAGUGAAAGAUAAUUAGCUAUAAUGUUGAUGGUAUUUAAUUGUUGGACAAAGUAUUUCUCCAAUCUAAAACAUAAAACCUUAAGAAACAUCAUUAUGUCAAAAAUUAAGAUAAAUAAACUAAACCAAUGAGAGUAAAAGUUAUUCAGUUUUUGAACUAAAAGAUCUUAUGGUAUGCUAAUUUUGUCUUUGUCAUCUUCACUUAAAUAUAUCUCCAUCUCUAAUGCUGUGAAUCUAAUCAACAAAUUAUUUUAUUUCUAGUACUUUCGUAAUAACAAAAAAAUUGUCAUUCAUGUUGCUAAAUUUACGUCUAUCAUGAAAAUAAUAGGCAUAAAAAAUGCAGCAUGACAUUUUAGUAAAUAAAUAAACUAAGAUUAAAAUCUGACGUAUAAUAACCAGACGUAAAAAACCCAUUAUAUAUUUGGUUGUUAUAAGUCAAAAAUGUUUUAAAACAUUGUUUUCUUAUUUGACAACGAAAAGAAAGGUUUUUUUUCCUAUGCUGGAACUUUUGUUAGUAACCAAAAUAAUAGUUUUUUUCAUUUCUCGUGUGCAUUUUAUUAUUGGAAAACAACAUUUUCUUGCAUUAUUUUACUACAUUAAAGUUAGUUUCCUACACUUUUACUUUUAAAUUAUUAAUUUGUUUUUAGGAAAACUAAUCAUAGCUAAGCAUGAUUAUUUCCCUUAUUGUCUUGAUAUGAUUAUGAUGGUUUAAGGUUCGAAUUUUGUUAAAAUAGUUUGCAUUAUCAAGUAAUUUUUGUUUGAUGAUGAGAAAAUGAUGAUUGAUAUAUUCUUUUUUAUUUUGUUUGUGUACCAUUACUCAUAUUAGCCAUAAUGUUAAUAGUAUUCAAAAUACAUUGAAGAUAGAUUUGGAGUUUAAGACAAAAUCAAAGCUCAUUAAUAAGUCUCCAAUUAAAACUAUUCAUGUAUUUCAUCAUUUUUUUUAUAUUUUUUUUGUAUAGAUAUUUUUUUAAUUUUAUAUUACAUUAUAUGGAUAACUAUUUUUUUUCUUAAUUUUAUAUACAGAAUUUGGAUACAUUAUUAAUUAUAUUAAUAUUUACAAACAACCAACCUUCGAUAUUUUUUUACUAAAGAACCAUAGGUAAAUAAUAAAAAAUAUUUAAUUAUAUAGAAAAAAAAUUCAAGUUUAAAUUAUUUCAAUGUUUUGGUUUUAACUUUUAUCCUUUGAUUGUAUUUUUUCUAAUAUUUAAAUUAUUUUUGUGUAUUUACAGAGAAAAUCCAACUUUGAAAACUUAAUUAAUUGAAAAAAUCAAGUGUGAAUAAUUCACAAAUUAAAUCUAUGUUUGGGCUUAAUAUGGAAAAAUGUCCAACAGGAACCAUUCCAAUUCAGAGAACAACAAAAAUAAGAAGCUGAUCUCAUUGAAGAAAAAAUACUAUUAAAUGAUCAUCUAAAUUAUAGUUUAUUCAUCUAAAUUAUAUUUGAAGUUGAUUAAUUAUUUGAAUAUAUUGAAUUUGGUAGCUUGCAGAAGUAUAUCUUCAUUCAAAGUUGGGUCCUUUUUACAAAGUUAGCAGAAUCAACAGUGUAUAUAUUAUUAGAUUUUAUUUGGUUAUAUAUGUUUUGAGCACUCAAUUAUACCAUAAUAUUAAAAUUAAUUUUUACUGUAAUUACAGUCAUAUAAUUUUUUAAUGGUGGAUAUUUCUCUAACAUAUCUGUAUGUCGUGGAGUAACUUAUGAGGUUCGCACUGUUAUUACUCGGGUAAACAAGUAUGCUAUUAAAUUUCACUUUAAUUAGAAUUGAAUAUGAAUCUUAAAUGCAUGAUUUUAUUCAUUUUAGUUUUUUAAUUACGUUAUUUUUAAGUAAAUAUAAUUAUAGAUAUGUUAUUUAGAAAAGCUGACAUUUGUUAUUAGGAUCCAGAUACAAAAAAUUAGUGGUCAACUUUGGAAAAUAUAAAUAUUGAUUAUCAUUUAGCAGCAUUGCUCUAACUUAAUUAUUGUUAAAUUAAGUUUAAAGUUUACUUUAUGAAAUAAAUGCAAACCUUAUUUUUUAUAUAAUUAAGUUAGAUUUUAUAACAACAUAGGAAAUAAAAUAUUAGAGAAAGUGUAUUAAAAUAAUGAGAUGAAGUAUAUUAUUUUAAAAUAAUUAUAUAAUAUAAAUAGAAAUUUCUAAAGCUUGUUUCAUUAUCUAAAUACUUUUUAUUUUUUUAAAACACUGUUAUCUUCUCUUUUUCUUACUUCUCUUUAACCUUUCUCACUUCUCAAUCAUUUGUUCGAUGAUCAGAAAGUGUCUAGGCGAUCCUAGCGUUGAGGACUACCAAACUGACCGAUCAAAUUGUUUAAUCGAACAAGUACGUGGUAAACCCUUUUAUUAGCCUUUUAGGGUUUUGAUUAUGUAAAACAAUUUUGUUUUGCAUGAAUCAAGGGUUCCUCUUAUUUGUGAUUCUAAGGUUGUUCUUCAAUUGUCAAUCAGUGAAUUAAUCGACAGAGUGUUUAGAGGAUUUUGAGCUGUUGAGAUUGAGGUAAAAGAAGCUAGAUUUACUUUAAUUUGUAAUUUAGUUCCUAUUUGUGAUGAAUCUAGGUGUAUUGUGUUAAUUGAAUUGAAUUCAGAUUUUAAAGUAGACAUUUCAUGUUUAAAUUGUUUGUUUUGAGUAUGGAUUGAUGAAUGAUGUUUAUGAACUGAAUUGCAUGAUGCUUAGAUCGUUUGGAAUGUAUUAUAUGUUGGAAAUUUGUGGUAAGAAGGUUCGCUGAUGAGUAGGCAUAGUUUGCAUUUGAUUUUGGGUUAGUUUUAAAUAAGUGAAUUAGUGAAAUUUAGAUUUGGGGGUUGGGUGCUCAAAUGGUCAGUUGUAAUAGUUUGGGUAAGUCAUUUGGGACUUGCUAAAGCCCCUAAAUUGCUUAAAACUGUGCCAAAAGUGGUAGAAUGAGAUUUGGGUCUAUAAGUUAGGUGUUUUGUAGAUUUUGAGGUGUAAAUUGUUUAGUAGAAACUUUAGAAUGAUGUUUGUAAGGUUUAGAAACAAUUGUCCAAGUUCAAUUAAGUCUAUAACACAAUUUAGGAGGAUUAGAAGUUGGGGAAAAUCUUCGAAAUUGGUAAAUUCUAGGUAUGUUGGGAAAAUUCUGCAGAUUUGUUCUGCAGAUUUGUGCUGCAAAAUUAUGCAAACCCGUUGAGCGAGUGGAGUCGCUCAGCGAGUGGUCAUAAAGUCUGGCACACUGUUCUGGUAUUCGCAUAGCAAGCAGGGGCGUUGACCGAGAGGUUGAGGUCUGAGAGCACUGUGAGUUUUAUUCGAUCAGCAAAAGGGGUCGCUGAGCGAAUGUGUUGGGGGUCUAGACCACUGUUUGGAGGAUUCACACAGCGAGUUGGUGCGCUAAGCGAGAGGUUGAGAUAUGGUACCAUUGGUAGUUUUAUUCGCUCAGCGAGCUGGGUAGUUGAGCGAGUGGAUUGGAGGCUGGCGAUACUAUCAUUGGAUUCGCACUGCGAGUUGGGUCGUUUUGCGAAAGAACUCUGUGGUCGUUCAGUGAGUGUGUGCGCUGAGCGAUUGGUCCAGGUUGUAAUAUACUAUUUUCUUCUUUGUUCUUAAUUGGUUUGAGUUAUGUAAUCGAUUCAUUUGUGGAUGAGGUAUGAUUAUGUAUGAGUAUUAUAUGAGUAUCAGAGUAAAGUAUAUUGUUUCAAAUGGUGUGGAGGAGAAUUCCAAGAAGGAAUUUCUCUGUGGUGGUUGUCAAAGUUUGUAAGUAUGAAUAUGGAAAGCUCAGUCUUGAAGUUCAUCCUGACAUUCUAAUGGUCACAUAUUCUCAAGUAGAGAGAGGUGAGGCAUGUCGUGAGAAUAGUAGGAGGUCCUAGCCUAGGGGCUUUUCAUUGACCUAAGGUGAGUGAUAACGACUAACCUUGUGUGGUAGCUUAGGGUGGACCAACUGUUUCACUACAACAAGUGCACGAACUGCCAUAACUACAUAUUCAUACUAAUCCAGAUGGUCAAGUCAAUAGUUGGUUAAAUACAAAGUUAGUUUGGUUUGAUAUGGUUAUGUUUAUCUUACGUGAUUGUUUAAUUGUAUUCAUAUAUCAUUAAUUAUUUUCUUCUAGUUUACUCUUCUAUUUGUGUUAUUUGUAUGUUGUCUUUGCCUUUCUUCUCUUUGCUAUGAUCAUUUUGCGGGUGUAAGCAAAGGGGGAUAAGACUUCUUUGGAGUAUGCUUUGGAGGGUGAUGUUGCGGAUGCUUAGCUGGCAGGAUUUAUAUCUUGUAUAUAGUUUUAUUAUAACUAGUUGUAAAUAAAGUAAAAUUUUAUAGUUAUUUUGGGAUGAUCGUAAAACUUAUUUUAUUUUCCUCAUUGUCUUAACUGUUCUAUAGUAUCAUGUUUAUGAUAACUCUUUUAUAUAGUUUAUGCUACAUUUUUG